CAUUGCAUCUAUGAGCAUCAUGCCACAAUUGCAUGUUUGAAUUCAAAUUUUGAAUCACAAAAGGCUUUAAGAGAUUUUGAUUACACCCCUGUAACCUUUGGAUUUUCAAACCAAUAAGGGUGAUGUAUAAAAAGGGUUUAAUGCAUAUAUAAGCUAUCCCAUAAUUUUUGGUUAAUUAUUUGGAGUUGAAAAAAGUAUUUUAUUCAAACAGACAUAUAGCCCUAAAGGCAUUUAUAGGGCAAAUGUAUUUUUAUAUAUUUUAUUUUCAGGGGAAUCUACUCCCAAAAGUUGUAUCAUGGUAGGACAUGAUUUUACAAAUUUUCUGGAAUUUAUUUGGACCAAUUUGGAGUUCAAACUCAAAAGAUAUCAAAGAAAUGGGAAAAGCAGAAAAAGAAAAGGGCUAAAAGGAAAAAAAAAUAGAAAACCGGACCGGCCCGGCCAAAAUGGGCCGAACCGGCCCAGUCCGACCGCGCCC
rnacentral:lncRNA from 1 species